GAUGAACGCUAGCGGCAGGCUUAACACAUGCAAGUCGAGGGGUAUAGGUUUUCGGACCUAGAGACCGGCGCACGGGUGCGUAACGCGUAUGCAAUCUACCUUUUACAGAGGGAUAGCCCA
rnacentral:rRNA from 1 species